AGAGGUCUUCAUCUCCUCAGUCACAUUCUUGUUUCAAAUUCCUCAAAAAUGCUUAUAAUUAUAUUAUUUACCUGUUUGUGUAAUGUCUUUCUCAUCAAGGAACCAUGUUUUUACCUCUAAGAGCUGCUUCACCUGGGUUUCCUUGCUUUCCAGCUUCUAACAGCAUUCAACUCUGGAGAUGAGAGGACAGGAAGAAAGGUUUGGUGGUGGCUGCUUGCUCCCAAGGAAGCCAUAACUGCUUUUCAGAUGUGCCUCUCCUACAACUCAGGUUGGAUCUGGAAUGUUUCCCAGAGGACUCUCUGUGUUUCAGGCAUAAACCCUAACCUGUGACUCUAUUGGGAGGGUAUUUUAAACAAAUACAAGAUCAGAGAAAGUAAAGUUGCAAGAAAACCACAGUGGGUUGGCAGGACAAGUAUCCCAAACUGGAAAAGAGUCCCUGCAUUCAAUUUCCUCUCAGGAAGUUUUACCUUCAAAAGUCCAAGUAGAGGUCAAGCUGUGGGUUGCCGGAAAUAGUAAUGUCUUCUACCGUCUGAGCACCAGACGACACUUAAUGAAACCCCCAACUUUGUGGACAUUGCUGCUGCUGCUGCUGAAUUAUGAGGCCUGCCAUGCACCACUUCUGCAGAGACUAGCUUUGUUUUUGCAAAAUGCAUGGAAUGGAGUUUGUGGGUAUAUAGAUUGCAGGCAAUGAGAGACCUGAGUGAAUAUGUGAGAAUGACCACAAGCCACCAGAUGUGGGUGUUCAUCCGUUUGCCUCAUUACUAAGAGGUUUUAGUUCUAAAAAAUAUCCGGGAGGAUUUAGCUUUGCGGAAGUAGGUGGGGAAACAGAAUAGAAUAAGAUUUUUUAAAUUUUAAACAAUUUAUUUGAGCUCCCAAUUGAUAUAUUCUAACUUCUUUACACUGGAAUCAGGAUUUCCUAAGAGGCAGUGGGAGAAAGAUUUUAUCAGUGCCCAUAGGCAUUAGAAAUUGAUUUUGAAAUUUAUUUAGUGUGUCAUCAGGAUGACAUUUGAUUAUAAAGAAGCUGGGAAUUGGAAAGUUUAGAUAUAAGUUAUUAAAACAAUAAUUAAGACUUUCUGUGGGCCUAGGCAUAUGUUUGUCUUGUUGGCAUAUGUUCUGCUCCAUUUGCAAACUAAGCUGUUGAUCCACUUCUGUCUGGUGUUCUGCUCCUUAUUCAUGUCAUUCAAAAUGAAGUCCAUUUCACUUUUUUCAGAGACAGCAUAGGACAGUAUCAAGAACAGUUCUGGAGUCCAGCUAGUUGAGUUCAAAUCCAGGCUCUGCCUCUAUCAAGAUUUGUGAUCUCAGGCCAGUUAGUAAACUCUCUGUGCUCCAGUUUCUUCAUUUGCAAAGUGUGGAUGAUAAUAUUUUCUAUUUCAUGGGGAUUAAAAACAAAGAAUCAUAAUGAGCAUUUGGUGAUAGUGAG